rnacentral:misc_RNA from 1 species
GAGCAGCGACAGCACCUCCGUCUCGCCUCUUCAUUCGUCGGCACGAGCUUGUGCUCGUCCGCGGUCGGUUAUCCUGUGCUGCAUACCUAUCGAGAGGGCAUUUUGUUGGCCGAAACGGUCCCAUCUCCGUCUUGCGUCGCCGCUCCUUGCGGGCUGUCGAUGUGGGGUGGAUCUCAAGGCUCGCGUCGUGUCUCGCACCGCAUCCACCUAUUUUUGGUGUUUGGGCAGGCGAACCACGUCGCGUCGCCCGUCGCCUUGGGUACGGAACAUCACGUGGGUACGCGGCCUCGGCCGCCGAUCGCCACAACGAUGCGUUCUACGCUUUUUGC